rnacentral:tRNA from 1 species
GCCUUUGUAGCUCAGUGGAAUAGAGCACCAGGUUCCGAACCUGGAGGUCGCUGGUUCGAGUCCAGCCGAGGGCAC